rnacentral:lncRNA from 10 species
AUGCUUCGAGUCUCAGAAUUCAAGAUUCAGCAUGUUGAUCUAAAUGGGACGCUGUUUUUAUUGACUUUCAUAUUACAUGAGAGUGGAGGCUGGGAAUGGAACUGUCGCAAAAUACAGGAUUGAAGAAGUCUUCCCAGAUUUUUCUUUUCUAAUUUCUGCAAGAGAGAUCAUGGGAAGAAAAAGUUACAAGGAAUAAGAGAGGAAAAAAAUGACGCCCAAAAAGGAAACAUCCAGC